rnacentral:rRNA from 1 species
AGCAGCCGCGGUAAUUCCAGCUCCAAUAGCGUAUAUUAAAGUUGUUGCAGUUAAAAAGCUCGUAGUUGAAUUUCGGGAUCAAUAUGUUGGUCGUGCCUUGGUACGUACUGGCAUUAUCGAUUCCUACCUUCUGAAGAACCUCGAUGUCAUUAAUUUGGUGUCUUGGGGAAUCAGGACUGUUACUUUGAAAAAUUAGAGUGUUUAAAGCAGGCUCGCGCUUGAAUACAUUAGCAUGGAAUAAUGAAAUAGGACGUUUGAUUCUAUUUUGUUGGUUUCUAGGAUCGACGUAAUGAUUAAUAGGGAUAGUUGGGGCAUUAGUAUUCAAUUGUCAGAGGU